CUUGCCCCUUGAAGGCGUUGCAGUGUGACUGAUUCUGUCAUUUCUGUGUCAUAAGGUGGCACAGAGUAGAAGGACUGUGUCUACACCUAGUACCCUUAACAAUGGAUGCUCAGUGUCAUUUACAGCCCUACAGA